rnacentral:ncRNA from 1 species
GCCAAUGCUUUAUAUAAAUGAGAGAUUUGGUUAGUUAUUCCAGUCUCCAACGGUAAAGGUACAUUGCAAGGUACACUUACCGUUUACAUA